GCCUUCGUGGUGUAACGGUAACGCACUCGAUGCGUAUUCGAGAGGUCCAGGUUCGAGUCCCGGCGAGAGCA
rfam:Stegodyphus mimosarum contig41902, whole genome shotgun sequence.